AACGAACGCUGGCGGCAUGCCUUACACAUGCAAGUCGAACGGCAGCACGGGAGCAAUCCUGGUGGCGAGUGGCGAACGGGUGAGUAAUAUAUCGGAACGUGCCCAGUCGUGGGGGAUAACGUAGCGAAAGCUACGCUAAUACCGCAUACGAUCUAUGGAUGAAAGCGGGGGGAUCGCAAGACCUCGCGCGAUUGGAGCGGCCGAUAUCAGAUUAGGUAGUUGGUGAGGUAAAGGCUCACCAAGCCGACGAUCUGUAGCUGGUCUGAGAGGACGACCAGCCACACUGGGACUGAGACACGGCCCAGACUCCUACGGGAGGCAGCAGUGGGGAAUUUUGGACAAUGGGCGCAAGCCUGAUCCAGCAAUGCCGCGUGCAGGAUGAAGGCCUUCGGUUGUAAC
rnacentral:rRNA from 1 species